GCUGGGCAUGGUGGCACAUCUCUGUAAUCCUAGCCACUUGGAGGCUGAGGCAGGAGGAUUGAAAAUUCAAGGCCAGUCUCAGCCAUUAAGCAAGACCCUGUCUCAA
rnacentral:sRNA from 1 species